rnacentral:lncRNA from 1 species
UAGCAGUCCUGUCAGUUGGACCUUUUCACAGACUCUGACCUAAGGUUGGUAACAAAAUUAUAAGAUGGUGUAAGGAUGCUUGUAAAGAAAAAAUAUAAAUUGAAGAUGCAGACAGCAUGGAUGAGCCCUCUGAAAGUAUUCAUGGAACUGAAAUUAUCAGUGUUUUCAUCCUGAUAUGGAAAAUCUGCCUGGCAGUGG